AAGUCAUGGGACGCACUCUGACGGAGCAUGCCGCGUGAGGGAUGACUGCCUAUGGGUUGGUAACCUCUUUUUUCAGGGAGGAAUAAAUGACGUGUACCUGAAGAAUAACCGUCCGCUAACUCCGUGCCACCGCCCGCGGUAUGACGGAGGAUGCAGGUGUUAUCCGGAAUCACUGGGCGUAAAGCGUCUGUAGGUGGUUUAGUACCUCAAGUGUUAAAUCUUGACGCACGUCUUCUAAAUCGCCUUCAAAACUAUUAUACUAUAGUAUAUGAUAGGUAAAGGGAAUUUCCAGUGGAGCGGUGAAAUGCGUGUAUAUUGGAAAUAACACCAAUGGCGAAAGCACUUUACUGGGCUAUUACUAACACUCAGAGACUAAAGCUACGGUAGCAAAUGGGAUUAGAUACCCCAGUAGUCCUAGCCGUAAACAAUGGAUACUACAUGUUGAACAGAUCGACCUGUGCAGUAUUAAAGCUAACGCGUUAAGUAUCCCGCCUGGGAAGUAUGCUCGCAAGAGUGAAACUCAAAGGAAUUGACGGAAA
rnacentral:rRNA from 1 species